CUUAGAGUAUACCUCAGGGAAUCUGCGGGCGUGUCAUUGAUCCCAAUACACGCGUUCAAGAAUCCGAACGAGACUGACUUUAUUGAAAAGUUUACGCCCACGUUUACGAGCUCACAAGAGGAUAGAUAUCCUUGUUGAUGACCUUCAAUGCGGUUUAAACAUCUUCACGCUUCAUCUACAAUAUCCCAAGGUCACUGCAUUGUAAUUCCAGCUAAGAAGUUUUACAGUUACGAAAGGGAGACUUCGUAGCAUCGUGAUAAAAAAAUGUCCCCGGGCACUACUUUUUUUACAUCACUGCUGGAGAAUUUCCUACCCGCUGGCUGCUCGCCAUUACGAAUCACAGUACUGGCAUAAUAUCGAACCGUUAAGAGCCAAGAGCGCAACAGAAGAAU